rnacentral:rRNA from 1 species
GACGAACGCUGGCGGCGUGCCUAAUACAUGCAAGUCGAACGCAUUUUCUUUCACCGUAGCUUGCUACACCGAAAGAAAAUGAGUGGCGAACGGGUGAGUAACACGUGGGUAACCUGCCCAUCAGCGGGGGAUAACACUUGGAAACAGGUGCUAAUACCGCAUAAUUCCAUUUACCGCAUGGUAAAUGGAUGAAAGGCGCUUUUGCGUCACUGAUGGAUGGACCCGCGGUGCAUUAGCUAGUUGGUGGGGUAACGGCCUACCAAGGCUGCGAUGCAUAGCCGAGCUGAGAGGGUGAUCGUCGACACUGGGACUGAGACACGGCCCAGACUCCUACAGGAGGCAGCAGUAGGGAACCUUCGGCAAUGGACGCAAGUCGGACCGAGCAACGCGGCGUGAGUGAAGAAGGAUUUCGGAUCGUAAAACUCUGUUAUUAGAGAAGAACAAGGAUGAGAGUGGAAAGUUCAUCCCUUGACGGUAUCUAACCAGAAAGCCACGGCUAACUACGUG